GAGUUUGAUUCUGGCUCAGAUUGAACGCUGGCGGCAUGCUUUACACAUGCAAGUCGAACGGCAGCACAGGGAGCUUGCUCCUGGGUGGCGAGUGGCGAACGGGUGAGUAAUGUAUCGGAACGUGCCUGGUAGUGGGGGGUAACUACUCGAAAGAGUGGCUAAUACCGCAUGAGAUCUUUGGAUGAAAGCGGGGGACCUUCGGGCCUCGCGCUACUGGAGCGGCCGAUAUCAGAUUAGGUUGUUGGUGGGGUAAAGGCCUACCAAGCCUGCGAUCUGUAGCUGGUCUGAGAGGACGACCAGCCACACUGGGACUGAGACACGGCCCAGACUCCUACGGGAGGCAGCAGUGGGGAAUUUUGGACAAUGGGCGCAAGCCUGAUCCAGCAAUGCCGCGUGCAGGAUGAAGGCCUUCGGG
rnacentral:rRNA from 1 species